CGAACGGGUGAGUAACGCGUGGCCAACCUACCCCGGCGUGGGGGAUACCCGCCAGAAAUGGCGGCUAAUACCGCGUACGGUCCCGUCGUUGUGAGCGGUGGGAAGAAAGCAGUGAUGCGCGCUGGGAGGGGGCUGCGGCCGAUUAUGCUUGUUGGCGGGGUAAUGGCCCACCAAGGCGAUGAUCGGUAGCGGGUCUGAGAGGAUGAUCCGCCACACGGGGACUGAGAGACGGCCCCG
rnacentral:rRNA from 1 species